rnacentral:tRNA from 2 species
GCGGCGUUGGUCCAGUCUGGUUAAGACACUGGCCCCCCAAGCCAGUGACCCGGGUUCAAAUCCCGGGCGCCGCA